CCUACGGGUGGCAGCAGUAGGGAAUAUUGCUCAAUGGGGGAAACCCUGAAGCAGCAACGCCGCGUGGAGGAUGAAGGUUUUCGGAUUGUAAACUCCUGUUGUAAGAGAAGAUAAUGACGGUAUCUCACGAAUAACAACCUGCUAACUCCGUGCCAGCAGCCGCGGUAAUACGGUGGGUGCAAACGUUACUAGGAAUCACUGGGCGUAAAGAGUGCGCGGGCGGGCUUGUAAGUCAGAUGUGAAAUCCUGUAGAUUAAAUACAGAACGGCAUUUGAUACUAGGAGUCUAGAGUGUGGGAGAGGUAGGUGGAAUUCUUGGUGUAGGGGUAAAAUGCGUAGAUAUAAAGAGGAAUACUCAUGGCGAAGGCGACCUACUGGAACAUUACUGACGCUCAUGGACGAAAGCGUGGGGAGCAAACAGGAUUAGAUACCCGAGUAGUC
rnacentral:rRNA from 1 species